rnacentral:rRNA from 1 species
CGGGUGAGUAAUGUAUGGGGAUCUGCCUGAUGGCGGGGGAUAACUACUGGAAACGGUAGCUAAUACCGCAUAACGACGCAAGACCAAAGAGGGGGACCUUAGGGCCUCUUGCCAUCGGAUGUGCCCAGAUGGGAUUAGCUAGUAGGUGGGGUAAUGGCUCACCUAGGCGACGAUCCCUAGCUGGUCUGAGAGGAUGACCAGCCACACUGGGACUGAGACACGGCCCAG